UAGUACGUCCUGUGUCCCGAAAGGUUCGAAAUUGAAAGGCGGCUUCGGCCCCUACUUAUGGAUGGACCCGCGUCGCAUUAGCUAGUUGGUGAGGUAACGGCUCACCAAGGCAACGAUGCGUAGCCCACCUGAGAGGAUCGGCCACACUGGGACUGAGACACGGCCCAGACUCCUACGGGAGGCAGCAGUAGGGAAUCUUCCGCAAUGGACGAAAGUCUGACGGAGCAACGCCGCGUGAGUGAUGAAGGCUUUCGGGUCGUAAAACUCUGUUGUUAGGGUAGCUGUGGAAGAACAAGUGCUAGUUGAAUAAGCUGGCACCUUGACGGUACCUAACCAGAAAGCCACGGCUAACUACGUGCCAGCAGCCGCGGUAAUACGUAGGUGGCAAGCGUUAUCCGGAAUUAUUGGGCGUAAAGCGCGCGCAGGUGGUUAAGUCUGAUGUGAAAGCCCACGGCUCAACCGUGGAGGGUCAUUGGAAACUGGGAGACUUGAGUGCAGAAGAGGAAAGUGGAAUUCCAGGAUCGAUCUGUGUAGCGGUGAAAUGCGUAGAGAUAUGGAGGAACACCAGUGGCGAAGGCGACUUUCUGGUCUGUAACUGACACUGAGGCGCGAAAGCGUGGGGAGCAAACAGGAUUAUAUACCCUGGUAGUCCACGCCGUAAACGAUGGUACGUACGAGUGCUAAGUGUUAGAGGGUUUCCGCCCUUUAGUGCUGAAGUUAACGCAUUAAGCACUCCGCCUGGGGAGUACAGUUUGAUGGAGUGCGUAGAGAUAGGAGGAACACCAGUGGGGUACGUCGAGGGCGACUUUUUGUUCUGUAACUGACAUUGAGGCGCGAAAGCGUGGGGAGCAAACAGGAUUUACCUUGUUAGUCCACGCCGUAAACGAUGAGUGUUAAGUGUUAGAGGGUUUCCGCCCUUUAGUGCUGAAGUUAAGCAUUAAGCAUUCCCCCUGGGGAGUACGGCCGCAAGGUUGAAAUUCAAAGGAAUGGACGGGGCCCAAGCGGUGGAGCAUGUGGUUUAAUUGGAAGCAACGCGAAGGUAGUCCAGAAGACCCUUACCAGGUCUGGACUUCUUUUGACAACCCUAGAGAUAGGGUUUUUCUUUGGGGAGCAGAGUGCCAGGUGGGGCAUGGUUGUGUUCAGCUGUCGUGAGAUGUUGGGUUAAGUCCCGCAACGAGGGCAACCCUUGAUUUUAGGGUACGUAGUUU
rnacentral:rRNA from 1 species